GUGAGGAAUAUUGGACAAUGGGCGCAAGCCUGAUCCAGCCAUGCCGCGUGCAGGAAGACGCAUCUAUGGUGUGUAAACUGCUUUUGUACGGGAAGAAACACUCCCUCGUGAGGGAGCUUGACGGUACCGUAAGAAUAAGGAUCGGCUAACUCCGUGCCAGCAGCCGCGGUAAUACGGAGGAUCCAAGCGUUAUCCGGAAUCAUUGGGUUUAAAGGGUCCGUAGGCGGUUUAAUAAGUCAGUGGUGAAAGCCCAUCGCUCAACGAUGGAACGGCCAUUGAUACUGUUAGACUUGAAUUACAAGGAAGUAACUAGAAUAUGUAGUGUAGCGGUGAAAUGCUUAGAUAUUAGGAGGAACAUCAGUGGCGAAGGCGGCUUUCUGGACAGUAACUGACACUGAGGUACGAAAGUGUGGGGAGCAAACAGGAUUAGAAACCCGAGUAGUCC
rnacentral:rRNA from 1 species